rfam:Hebeloma cylindrosporum h7 unplaced genomic scaffold scaffold_62, whole genome shotgun sequence.
GGGCAGGUGAUCCGAAGGGUAAAGGUGGUUCUCUGUAAAAGAAUUGGUUAACACCGUAAAAGGUUCAAGUCCUUUACUGCUCA